rnacentral:rRNA from 1 species
CCUACGGGCGGCAGCAGUGAGGAAUAUUGGUCAAUGGGCGAGAGCCUGAACCAGCCAAGUCGCGUGAGGGAAGACGGUCCUAUGGAUUGUAAACCUCUUUUGCCGGGGAGCAAAAAGCGGUUCGUGUACCGCAUCGCGCCUACCCGGAACAAACGCAUCGGCUCACUCAGUGCCAGCAGCCGCGGUAAUACGGUGGCGGCGAGCGGUAUCCGGAUUUAUUGGGUUUAUAGGGUGCGCAGGCGGCGAGUUAAGUCAGCGGUAAAAUAUCGGGGCUCAACCCCGACAAGCCGUUGAAACUGGCUGGCUAGAGUGGGCGAGAAGUAGGCGGAAUGCGUGGUGUAGCGGUGAAAUGCAUAGAUAUCACGCAGAACUCCGAUGGCGAAGGCAGCAUACCGGCGCCCAACUGACGCUCAGGCACGAAAGCGUGGGUAUCGAACAGGAUUAGAUACCCGGGUAGUC